UACGUAGGGCGCAAGCGUUGUCCGGAAUUAUUGGGCGUAAAGAGCUCGUAGGCGGUUUGUCGCGUCUGCUGUGAAAACCCGAGGCUCAACCUCGGGCCUGCAGUGGGUACGGGCAGACUAGAGUGCGGUAGGGGAGAUUGGAAUUCCUGGUGUAGCGGUGGAAUGCGCAGAUAUCAGGAGGAACACCAAUGGCGAAGGCAGAUCUCUGGGCCGUAACUGACGCUGAGGAGCGAAAGCAUGGGGGAGCGAACAGG
rnacentral:rRNA from 1 species